rnacentral:rRNA from 1 species
UAACCUGCCCAAGAGAUCGGGAUAACACCUGGAAACAGAUGCUAAUACCGGAUAACAACAGAUGAUGCCUAUCAACUGUUUAAAAGAUGGUUCUGCUAUCACUCUUGGAUGGACCUGCGGUGCAUUAGCUAGUUGGUAGGGUAACGGCCUACCAAGGCGAUGAUGCAUAGCCGAGUUGAGAGACUGAUCGGCCACAUUGGGACUGAGACACGACCCAAACUCCUACGGGAGGCAGCAGC